UUCAUUUUACACACAUUCGCUUAACGAAGUUAAAAACGCGUGAAACGUUUAUUUGACCAUCAGACGACUUCGUGCGAAUUUUUAUUUAAUUUUUUCAGUUUAAUUGCACAAAAAUAUACAUAAAUUAGAAAAAACCAAAACGGCUUGUUAAUUUGUUUGUGUUUGUUCAUCGUGUGUUUCUUUUUUUAUUGACUGCUGCCUAUACAUACAACAUAUAUUUGUCGUUUAUUA